rnacentral:rRNA from 1 species
ACUCAAAUGAAUAGACGGGGACCCGCACAAGCGGUGGAGCAUGUGGUUUAAUUCGACGCAACGCGAAGAACCUUACCUGGACUAGAAUGUGAGGGGAUAUCGGGUAAUGCCGGUAGUCCGGGAAACCGGACCCAAAACAAGGUGCUGCAUGGCUGUCGUCAGCUCGUGUCGUGAGAUGUUGGGUUAAGUCCCGCAACGAGCGCAACCCUUAUCAACAGUUGCCAUCAUUAAGUUGGGAACUCUGUUGAGACUGCCGUUGAUAAAACGGAGGAAGGUGGGGAUGAUGUCAAGUCAUCAUGGACUUUAUGUUCAGGGCUACACACGUGCUACAAUGGAAGGUACAAAACGUCGCAAUCCCGCAAGGGGGAGCUAAUCGCGAAAACCUUCCUCAGUUCGGAUUGGAGUCUGCAACUCGACUCCAUGAAGUUGGAAUCGCUAGUAAUCGCAAAUCAGCAUGUUGCGGUGAAUACGUUCCCGGGUCUUGUACACACCGCCCGU